GAAUCCUUUCGUGCAUGAGCGUCAGUAUUGGCCCAGGGGGCUGCCUUCGCCAUCGGUAUUCCUCCACAUCUCUACGCAUUUCACUGCUACACGUGGAAUUCUACCCCCCUCUGCCAUACUCUAGCCCGCCAGUCACAAAUGCAGUUCCCAGGUUAAGCCCGGGGAUUUCACAUCUGUCUUAGCGGACCGCCUGCGCACGCUUUACGCCCAGUAAUUCCGAUUAACGCUUGCACCCUACGUAUUACCGCGGCUGCUGGCACGUAGUUAGCCGGUGCUUAUUCUUCCGGUACCGUCAUCCGCCACGGGUAUUAACCACGACGUUUUCUUUCCGGACAAAAGUGCUUUACAACCCGAAGGCCUUCUUCACACACGCGGCAUUGCUGGAUCAGGGUUGCCCCCAUUGUCCAAAAUUCCCCACUGCUGCCUCCCA
rnacentral:rRNA from 1 species